rnacentral:rRNA from 1 species
GGGGACCGCAAGGCCUUGCGCUCUUUGGGCGGCCGAUGUCAGAUUAGCUAGUUGGUGAGGUAAAGGCUUACCAAGGCGACGAUCUGUAGCGGGUCUGAGAGGAUGAUCCGCCACACUGGAACUGAGACACGGUCCAGACUCCUACGGGAGGCAGCAGUGGGGAAUUUUGGACAAUGGGGGCAACCCUGAUCCAGCCAUGCCGCGUGAGUGAAGAAGGCCUUCGGGUUGUAAAGCUCUUUCGGCCGGGAAGAAAUCGCAUGGGCCAAUACCCUGUGUGGAUGACGGUACCGGAAUAAGAAGCACUGGCUAACUACGUGCCAGCAGCCGCGGUAAUACGUAGGGUGCGAGCGUUAAUCGGAAUUACUGGGCGUAAAGCGUGCGCAGGCGGUUUUGUAAGACAGGCGUGAAAUCCCCGGGCUUAACCUGGGAACUGCGUUUGUGACUGCAAGGCUAGAGUACGGCAGAGGGGGGUGGAAUUCCACGUGUAGCAGUGAAAUGCGUAGAGAUGUGGAGGAACACCAAUGGCGAAGGCAGCCCCCUGGGUCGAUACUGACGCUCAUGCACGAAAGCGUGGGUAGCAAACAGGAUUAGAUACCCUGGUAGUCCACGCCCUAAACUAUGUCAACUAGGUGUUGGGUGGGUAAAACCAUUUAGUACCGUAGCUAACGCGUGAAGUUGACCGCCUGGGGAGUACGGCCGCAAGGUUAAAACUCAAAGGAAUUGACGGGGACCCGCACAAGCGGUGGAUGAUGUGGAUUAAUUCGAUGCAACGCGAAAAACCUUACCUACCCUUGACAUGCCAGGAACUUGCCAGAGAUGGCUUGGUGCCCGAAAGGGAGCCUGGACACAGGUGCUGCAUGGCUGUCGUCAGCUCGUGUCGUGAGAUGUUGGGUUAAGUCCCGCAACGAGCGCAACCCUUGUCGUUAAUUGCCAUCAUUUGGUUGGGCACUUUAACGAGACUGCCGGUGACAAACCGGAGGAAGGUGGGGAUGACGUCAAGUCCUCAUGGCCCUUAUGGGUAGGGCUUCACACGUCAUACAAUGGUCGGUACAAAGGGUUGCCAAGCCGCGAGGCGGAGCCAAUCCCAGAAAGCCGAUCGUAGUCCGGAUUGCAGGCUGCAACUCGCCUGCAUGAAGUCGGAAUCGCUAGUAAUCGUGGAUCAGCAUGUCACGGUGAAUACGUUCCCGGGUCUUGUACACACCGCCCGUCACACCAUGGGAGCGGGUUCCGCCAGAAGUAGGUAGCCUAACCGCAAGGGGGGCGCUUACCACGGCGGGGUUCGUGAC